AGCAGUAGCCGCGGGAAUACAGAGGGUGCGAGCGUUAAUCGGAUUUACUGGGCGUAAAGCGUGCGUAGGCGGCUUCUUAAGUCGGAUGAGAAAUCCCUGAGCUUAACUUAAGAAUUGCAUUCGAUACUGGGAAGCUAGAGUAUGGGAGAGGAUGGUAGAAUUCCAGGUGUAGCGGUGAAAUGCGUAGAGAUCUGGAGGAAUACCGAUGGCGAAGGCAGCCAUCUGGCCUAAUACUGACGCUGAGGUACGAAAGCAUGGGGAGCAAACAGGAUUAGAUACCCGCGUAGUCCCUGUCUCUUAUAC
rnacentral:rRNA from 1 species